rnacentral:rRNA from 1 species
AGAGUUUGAUCCUGGCUCAGAACGAACGCUGGCGGCGUGCUUAACACAUGCAAGUCGAGUGCGCGUGCCGUAGCAAUACGGUAUGGCGCACGGCGCACGGGUGCGUAACACGUGGGCAAUCUGCCCUUCGAUGGGGAAUAACUCCGGGAAACCGAAGCUAAUUCCGCAUAACAUUCCUUGGACCUCGGUUCGAGGAUUCAAAGCCGCAAGGCGUCGAAGGAGGAGCCCGCGCACGAUUAGCUAGUUGGUAGGGUAACGGCCUACCAAGGCUUUGAUCGUUAGCUGGUCUGAGAGGAUGACCAGCCACACUGGAACUGAGACACGGUCCAGACUCCUACGGGAGGCAGCAGUGGGGAAUCUUGCACAAUGGGCGAAAGCCUGAUGCAGCGACGCCGCGUGGGGGAUGAAGCAUCUCGGUGUGUAAACCCCUUUCGACCCGGACGAAUGCCUCGCAAGAGGAGUGACGGUACGGGUAUAAGAAGCCCCGGCUAACUACGUGCCAGCAGCCGCGGUAAGACGUAGGGGGCCAGCGUUGUUCGGAAUUACUGGGUGUAAAGGGUUCGUAGGCGGUGUGGCAAGUUGGGAGUGAAAUCUCUGGGCUUAACCCAGAGACUGCUUCCAAAACUGCUGUGCUGGAGUGUGGGAGAGGCGCGUGGAAUUGCAGGUGUAGCGGUGAAAUGCGUAGAUAUCUGCAGGAACACCCGUGGCGAAAGCGGCGCGCUGGACCACUACUGACGCUGAGGAACGAAAGCUAGGGGAGCAAACAGAUUAGAUACCCUGGUAGUCCUAGCCCUAAACGAUCAGGACUUGGGGUGCCACCCGUUCGGGUGUCGUCCCGGAGCUAACGCGUUAAGUCCUGCACCUGGGGAGUACGUCGCAAGACUGAACUCAAAGGAAUUGACGGGGCCCGCACAAGCGGUGGAACAUGUGGUUCAAUUCGACGCUACGCGAGGAACCUUACCUGGGCUCGAAAUGCUUG